UCUUCUCCACGACACGGGCCUCUUACAAAGCUUGGAAGAAGCUUUUGAAACGGAGUGGAGGGCCAUCGAGACACAAAAAGGGGUG
rnacentral:ribozyme from 1 species